rnacentral:rRNA from 1 species
CCAGACUCCUACGGGAGGCAGCAGUGGGGAAUAUUGCACAAUGGGGGAAACCCUGAUGCAGCAACGCCGCGUGAGUGAAGAAGGUUUUCGGAUUGUAAAGCUCUGUUAGCAGGGAAGAGGAAGGACGGUACCUGCAGAGGAAGCCACGGCUAACUACGUGCCAGCAGCCGCGGUAAUACGUAGGGGGCAAGCGUUAUCCGGAUUUACUGGGUGUAAAGGGAGCGUAGACGGCGAUACAAGUCUGAAGUGAAAGCCCGGGGCUCAACCCCGGGACUGCUUUGGAAACUGUGUUGCUGAAGUGCUGGAGAGGCAAGCGGAAUUCCUAGUGUAGCGGUGAAAUGCGUAGAUAUUAGGAAGAACACCAGUGGCGAAGGCGGCUUGCUGGACAGUAACUGACGUUGAGGCUCGAAAGCGUGGGGAGCAAACAGGAUUAGAUACCCGAGUA